rnacentral:rRNA from 1 species
GACGGGGGGGGCAAGUGUUCUUCGGAAUGACUGGGCGUAAAGGGCACGUAGGCGGUGAAUCGGGUUGAAAGUGAAAGUCGCCAAAAACUGGCGGAAUGCUCUCGAAACCAAUGAACUUGGGUGAGACAGAGGAGAGUGGAAUUUCGUGUGUAGGGGUGAAAUCCGGAGAUAUACGAAGGAACGCCAAAAGCGAAGGCAGCUCUCUGGGCAGUAACUGACGCUGAGGAGCGAAAGCAUGGGGAGCGAACAGG